ACCCCAGUGAAAACUUUUGUACAUUCUUGUAUCUUUUUUCUGAGAGUGUAUCUGUACUUUAUCUGACACACCUAUAUCAGGUUUUGAAGGACUUUUACUAAGGCGAUGAGUUGAAUUAUUAUGGGAAGAUUUAGAGUAAUGGGGUGCCUGCAGGAACAGAAAUGAAAAACAUUGUAUAUUGCACAGGUAGUUUUUUCCAUUUAGUAAAUACACAUUCUUAUGUGUUUCAUUUCAGGUAAUUACAAAUGCGUGCAAGGUCUAUGUGUAAGACAAGUAUUCAGUUUAGAGCCACCAAUUACUCAAUAUAAUCUUCUUUAUAACACUUUUUCUUUAUAACUUACAACUCUAUUAAACUUUGUUAUUGUUUAGACUUUCGUAGACCAGAAAAUGAGUUACAGUAAAGUGCUUUAUGCAAAUAUGAACCCCCAACACAUCCCGCCUCAUAAAUAGUAAACAUCAGUCAAUAUAAACAGUUUGAUCUACAGCUCAGCUCAUUUCUAAUCAUGUUUAACUCGUAUCUGCUUUUGCUGCUGUCUGCAGCGAUGUCUUGUGUCCACUGUGUUGAACUGACUCAACCUGCAUCCAUUAAUCUGAGGUCUGAUCAGACUUUGACUCUGUCCUGUAAGGUGUCUGGAUAUUCACUGACUGAUAGCAGCUACUGCACUAACUGGAUACGACAGACUGCUGGAAAACCUCUGGAAUGGAUUGGAAGGAUUUGUGGUAGCGGUAACACAUAUUACAGUGAUAAACUGAAAAGUAGAUUUCAAGUUACAAGAGACACUUCCAGCAGCACAGUGACUCUACAAGGACAGAAUAUGAGGACUGAGGACACAGCUGUGUAUUACUGUGCACGAGAGAGCACACUGAUGUAA